AGCUCCAAUAGCGUAUAUUAAAGUUGUUGCGGUUAAAAAGCUCGUAGUUGGAUUUCUGCCGAGGACAGCCGGUCCGCCCCCUGGGUGAGUAUCUGGUUCGGCCUGGGCAUCUUCUUGGGGAACGUAGCUGCACUUGACUGUGUGGUGCGGAAUCCAGGACUUUUACUUUGAGGAAAUUAGAGUGUUUCAAGCAGGCUUUCGCCUUGAAUACAUUAGCAUGGAAUAAUAAGAUAGGACUUCGGUUCUAUUUUGUUGGUUUUUAGAGCUGAAGUAAUGAUUAAUAGGGAUAGUCGGGGGCAUUGGAAUUGAGUUGUCAGAGGUGAAAUUCUUGGAUUUACUCAAGACCGACUACUGCGAAAGCAUUUGCCAAGGAUGUUUUCA
rnacentral:rRNA from 1 species